rnacentral:rRNA from 1 species
UACGUAGGGAGCAAGCGUUGUCCGGAAUCAUUGGGCGUAAAGCGCGCGUAGGUGGCCUCAUAAGUCCGCUGUGAAAGUCAAAGGCUCAACCUUUGAAAGCCGGUGGAUACUGUGAGGCUAGAGUACGGAAGAGGCGAGUGGAAUUCUCGGUGUAGCGGUGAAAUGCGUAGAUAUCGAGAGGAACACCUGCGGCGAAGGCGGGUUGCUGGGCUGACACUGACGCUGAAGCGCGAAAGCUAGGGGAGCGAACGGG